rnacentral:rRNA from 1 species
GAUGAACGCUAGCGGGAGGCUUAAUACAUGCAAGUCGAGCGAGAAUGUUAUAGCUUGCUAUAGCAGGACAGCGGCGCACGGGUGAGUAACGCGUACGGAAUCUACCUUACAGAGGGGGAUAGCCCUGGGAAACUGGGAUUAAUACCCCAUAGCAUCAUAAUAAGGCAUCUUAUAAUGAUUAAAGCUACGGUGCUGUAAGAUGAUCGUGCGUACUAUUAGCUAGUUGGUGAGGUAACGGCUCACCAAGGCGACGAUAGUUAGGGGGCGUGAGAGCGUGAACCCCCACACGGGUACUGAGACACGGACCCGACUCCUACGGGAGGCAGCAGUAAGGAAUAUUGGACAAUGGGCGGAAGCCUGAUCCAGCCAUCCCGCGUGCAGGAAGACGGCCCUACGGGUUGUAAACUGCUUUUAUAAGAGAAGAAACCCUGAGAUUUAUCUUGGGCUGACGGUAUCUUAAGAAUAAGCACCGGCUAACUCCG